rnacentral:rRNA from 1 species
UACGUAGGGUGCAAGCGUUACUCGGAAUUACUGGGCGUAAAGCGUGCGUAGGUGGUGAGUUAAGUCUGUCGUGAAAGCCCCGGGCUCAACCUGGGAAUGGCGAUGGAUACUGGCUCGCUAGAGUGCGGUAGAGGAGAGUGGAAUUCCGUGGUGUAGCGGUGAAAUGCGCAGAUAUCAGGAAGAACACCCGUGGCGAAGGCGGCUCUCUGGGACGGUACUGGACGCUGAAGACGCGAAAGACGUGGGAGCGAACAGG